rnacentral:rRNA from 1 species
AACGAACGCUGGCGGCAUGCCUAACACAUGCAAGUCGAACGAGACCUUCGGGUCUAGUGGCGCACGGGUGCGUAACGCGUGGGAACCUGCCCUUAGGUUCGGAAUAACUCCCCGAAAGGGGUGCUAAUACCGGAUAAUGUCUUCGGACCAAAGAUUUAUCGCCUUUGGAUGGGCCCGCGUUGGAUUAGCUAGUUGGUAGGGUAAAAGCCUACCAAGGCGACGAUCCAUAGCUGGUCUGAGAGGAUGAUCAGCCACACUGGGACUGAGACACGGCCCAGACUCCUACGGGAGGCAGCAGUGGGGAAUACUGGACAACGGGCGAAAGCCUGAUCCAGCAAGGCCGCGUGAGUGAUGAAGGCCUUAGGGUUGUAAAGCUCUUUUACCCGGGAUGAUAAUGACAGUACCGGGAGAAUAAGCGCCGGCUAACUCCGUG